rnacentral:rRNA from 1 species
UACGAAGGGGGCUAGCGUUGCUCGGAAUCACUGGGCGUAAAGGGUGCGUAGGCGGGUCUUUAAGUCAGGGGUGAAAUCCUGGAGCUCAACUCCAGAACUGCCUUCGAUACUGAGAGUCUCGAGUCCGGGAGAGGUGAGUGGAACUGCGAGUGUAGAGGUGAAAUUCGUAGAUAUUCGCAAGAACACCAGUGGCGAAGGCGCCAUCUGGACGGCUAUUGACGCUGAGACGCGAAAGCGUGGGGAGCAAACAGG